CCCUUAGAUGUCCUGGGCCGCACGCGCGCUACACUGAGUGUCUGAGAUACGAGUCUGUCUAGCCGGCGAGGUCUAGGUAAUCGCUGAAAGACACAUCAUCCUUGGGAUAGAUUAUUGCAGAUAUUAAUCUUGAACGAGGAAUUCCUAGUAAGCGCAAGUCAACAGCUUGCGUUGAUUACGUCCCUGCCCUUUGUGCACACCGCCCGUCGCUACUACUGAUUGGAUGUUUAAGCGAGGUUCUCGAACUGCUAGCGACUUAGCUUCGGUGAGGUCGCCGUGUGGGAAGUGAACCUAGCUUUGGUGUCUAGAGGAAGUAAAAGUCGUAUCA
rnacentral:rRNA from 1 species